UUAGAAGGGAUUUCCCAACAUGCUGGUCUUAAAUUCAAAGAACUAGAAUUUGCUUACUUUUAGAUUUGAACCUGAGAAAAAUGGUAUUUGAGCCCAUGAUCCUACAUUUUUCUUCUCGCCAUGAUGCCACUAAACAAACUUUUAUAUUGGAUCCAAUGAAUUAAUAGGGAUAUUUGUCAUGACUACUCUAUAUCAAGCUCAGAAACAAGAUUUGAUUUCCGCAUACAUACAUAUGCACCAGUCGAAGAGCUGGGAGGAUGGUGUAAAAAAAUCAAGAGUUUACAAGGGUUUACUUCAAGACGGGGUGCUUGUAGCCAUCAAAAAGCGGCGUGCACUCCCGAGUCAUGAAUUUGUUGAUGAGGUAAUAAUCGGUUUCCUGAUCUAAAACUUGAUUGCAUGAGGUACUGUGAAAUAAAUAAUUGAUGUGAAGUGACUUGAAUUGCCAUAGAGUGAAUAGUGACAAAGUUAGAAGUCUCCUUGAUGAAUUUCUUUAGAGAUGGUUAGUUAGUAAAAAAAUUUCCUUGAUUUCUUUUGUAUAUGUAUUUUUUUUCUGAGUCAUGAAAAUAAUUUUAAACAGAUGCCCUUCUUUUUCUUCUAGUUUUACUUCUCUAUUCCUUAUCUGUUUCUGCUUCAGCAUUUUGAGUAGAAUUCUUUCGAAGUUGCUAGUUAGCCUCAUAUAUUAGUUGAUUCAGAAUGAUGAAAAUUACUUUGCACAUCAUUUCACACUUAACAGAAUAUUUGGUGUUCAAUAAUUUCUGAAUAAAGUCUUCAUUUUCUUUGUUCUGAAAUAUAUGCGAGCAUAAUCAGAAAUCAGUAUUUCUGUCCCACCCACAAAGCCUCUUGUCAAGUACUUUGAAACUUUUAACUAGUCUGGUGAUUAUUUCUGAGAUAAAACUGUAAAUCAAAUAAUUCUAGUAAUAUGGAUUAGCAACAUUUCAAUCAAUACAAGUUUUUUAUAAAUAAAAUAAAUUAAAAAUUUAAUUAGUAUGAAUUAUUUGUAAAUAAGUUUUA